rnacentral:rRNA from 1 species
UACGGAGGGUGCAAGCGUUAUCCGGAUUCACUGGGUUUAAAGGGUGCGUAGGAGGGCAGGUAAGUCAGUGGUGAAAUCCCCGAGCUUAACUUGGGAACUGCCGUUGAUACUAUCUGUCUUGAAUACCGUGGAGGUGAGCGGAAUAUGUCAUGUAGCGGUGAAAUGCUUAGAUAUGAACAUAGAACACCAAUUGCGAAGGCAGCUCGCUACACGAAUAUUGACUCUGAGCACGAAAGCGUGGGGAUCAAACAGG